rnacentral:rRNA from 1 species
AUACGGAGGGUGCAAGCGUUAAUCGGAAUUACUGGGCGUAAAGCGUACGUAGGCGGUCCGUUAAGUUAGAUGUGAAAGCCCCGGGCUUAACCUGGGAACUGCAUUUAAAACUGGCGGACUAGAGUUGAGUAGAGGGGAGUGGAAUUUCAGGUGUAGCGGUGAAAUGCGUAGAGAUCUGAAGGAACACCAGUGGCGAAGGCGACUCCCUGGACUCGAACUGACGCUGAGGUACGAAAGCGUGGGUAGCAAACAGGAUUAGAAACCCCGGUAGUCC